rnacentral:rRNA from 1 species
CUGGCGGCAGCCUAACACAUGCAAGUCGAACGGUAACAGGAGCAGCUUGCUGCUUUGCUGACGAGUGCGGACGGGUGAGUAAUGUCUGGGAAACUGCCUGAUGGAGGGGGAUAACUACUGGAAACGGUAGCUAAUACCGCAUAACGUCGCAAGACCAAAGAGGGGGACCUUCGGGCCUCUUGCCAUCGGAUGUCCCAGAUGGGAUUAGCUAGUAGGUGGGGUAACGGCUCACCUAGGCGACGAUCCCUAGCUGGUCUGAGAGGAUGACCAGCCACACUGGAACUGAGACACGGUCCAGACUCCUACGGGAGGCACAGUGGGGAAUAUUGCACAAUGGGCGCAAGCCUGAUGCAGCCAUCCGCGUGUAUGAAGAAGGCCUUCGGGUGUAAAGUACUUUUCAGCGGGGAGGAAGGCGAUAAGGUAAUAACCUUGUCCGAUUGACGUUACCCGCAGAAGAAGCACCGCUACA